UGACGGCCUUCGGGUUGUAAMCUCUUUCAGCAGGGAAGAAGCGAAAGUGACGGUACCUGCAGAAGAAGCACCGGCUAACUACGUGCCAGCMGCCGCGGUAAUACGUAGGGUGCGAGCGUUGUCCGGAAUUAUUGGGCGUAAAGAGCUUGUAGGCGGUUUGUCGCGUCUGCUGUGAAAAUCCGGGGCUCAACCCCGGACUUGCAGUGGGUACGGGCAGACUAGAGUGUGGUAGGGGAGACUGGMAUUCCUGGUGUAGCGGUGAAAUGCGCAGAUAUCAGGAGGAACACCGAUGGCGAAGGCAGGUCUCUGGGCCACUACUGACGCUGAGAAGCGAAAGCAUGGGGAGCGAACAGGAUUAGAUACCCUGGUAGUCCAUGCCGUAAACGUUGGGCGCUAGGUGUGGGACUCAUUCCACGAGUUCCGUGCCGCAGCUAACGCAUUAAGCGCCCCGCUGGKGAGUACGGCCGCAAGCUAUACUCAUAGGUAUU
rnacentral:rRNA from 1 species